GAUGAACGCUGGCGGUAUGCUUAACACAUGCAAGUCGAACGGUCUUUUAGGAGACAGUGGCGGACGGGUGAGUAACGCGUAAGAAUCUACCCUCAGGUCGGGGACAACCACUGGAAACGGUGGCUAAUACCGGAUGUGCCGAGAGGUGAAAGGCUUGCUGCCUGGGGAAGAGCUUGCGUCUGAUUAGCUAGUUGGUAGUGUAAGAGACUACCAAGGCGACGAUCAGUAGCUGGUCUGAGAGGAUGAUCAGCCACACUGGGACUGAGACACGGCCCAGACUCCUACGGGAGGCAGCAGUGGGGAAUUUUCCGCAAUGGGCGAAAGCCUGACGGAGCAAUACCGCGUGAGGGAGGAAGGCUCUUGGGUUGUAAACCUCUUUUCUCAGGGAAGAAAAAAAUGACGGUACCUGAGGAAUAAGCAUCGGCUAACUCCGUGCCAGCAGCCGCGGUAAUACGGAGGAUGCAAGCGUUAUCCGGAAUGAUUGGGCGUAAAGGGUCCGCAGGUGGCAUUGAAAGUCUGCUGUUAAAGAGUCUAGCUCAACUAGAUAAAAGCAGUGGAAACUACAAAGCUAGAGUUUGGUCGGGGCAGAAGGAAUUCCUGGUGUAGCGGUGAAAUGCGUAGAUAUCAGGAAGAACACCAGUGGCGAAGGCGUUCUGCUAGGCCGAGACUGACACUGAGGGACGAAAGCUAGGGGAGCGAAUGGGAUUAGAUACCCCAGUAGUCCUAGCCGUAAACGAUGGAUACUAGGCGUAGCUCGUAUCGACCCGAGCUGUGCCGGAGCUAACGCGUUAAGUAUCCCGCCUGGGGAGUACGCAGGCAACUGUGAAACUCAAAGGAAUUGACGGGGGCCCGCACAAGCGGUGGAGUAUGUGGUUUAAUUCGAUGCAACGCGAAGAACCUUACCAAGGCUUGACAUGUCACGAAUCCUGUGGAAACAUAGGAGUGCCUUCGGGAGCGUGAACACAGGUGGUGCAUGGCUGUCGUCAGCUCGUGUCGUGAGAUGUUGGGUUAAGUCCCGCAACGAGCGCAACCCUCGUUUUUAGUUGCCAGCAUUAAGUUGGGCACUCUAGAGAGACUGCCGGUGACAAACCGGAGGAAGGUGGGGAUGACGUCAAGUCAGCAUGCCCCUUACGUCUUGGGCUACACACGUACUACAAUGCUACGGACAAAGGGCAGCUACACAGCGAUGUGAUGCGAAUCUCGUAAACCGUAGCUCAGUUCAGAUCGAAGGCUGCAACUCGCCUUCGUGAAGGAGGAAUCGCUAGUAAUUGCAGGUCAGCAUACUGCAGUGAAUUCGUUCCCGGGCCUUGUACACACCGCCCGUCACACCAUGGAAGUUGGUCACGCCCGAAGUCGUUACCCCAACCGCAAGGGGGGGGAUGCCUAAGGUAGGACUGAUGACUGGGGUGAA
rnacentral:rRNA from 1 species